rnacentral:rRNA from 1 species
ACAGAGGCGGCAAGCGUUGUUCUGAAUUAUUGGGCGUAAAGAGCACGUAGGCGGCCUUGCAAGUCAGUUGUGAAAGCCUUCCGCUUAACGGAAGAACGGCAUCUGAUACUACAGGGCUUGAGUACGGGAGGGGAGAGUGGAAUUUCUGGUGGAGCGGUGAAAUGCGUAGAUAUCAGAAGGAACGCCGGCGGCGAAAGCGACUCUCUGGUCCGAAACUGACACUGAGGCACGAAAGCGUGGGGAGCAAACAG